rnacentral:rRNA from 1 species
CCUGAAACCGUGUGCUUACAAGUAGUCAGAGCCCGUUAAUGGGUGAUGGCGUGCCUUUUGUAGAAUGAACCGGCGAGUUACGAUUUGAUGCAAGGUUAAGCAGUAAAUGUGGAGCCGUAGCGAAAGCGAGUCUGAAUAGGGCGUUUAGUAUUUGGUCGUAGACCCGAAACCAGGUGAUCUACCCUUGGUCAGGUUGAAGUUCAGGUAACACUGAAUGGAGGACCGAACCGACUUACGUUGAAAAGUGAGCGGAUGAACUGAGGGUAGCGGAGAAAUUCCAAUCGAACCUGGAGAUAGCUGGUUCUCUCCGAAAUAGCUUUAGGGCUAGCCUCAAGUGAUGAUUAUUGGAGGUAGAGCACUGUUUGGACGAGGGGCCCCUCUCGGGUUACCGAAUUCAGACAAACUCCGAAUGCCAAUUAAUUUAACUUGGGAGUCAGAACAUGGGUGAUAAGGUCCGUGUUCGAAAGGGAAACAGCCCAGACCACCAGCUAAGGUCCCAAAAUAUAUGUUAAGUGGAAAAGGAUGUGGCGUUGCCCAGACAACUAGGAUGUUGGCUUAGAAGCAGCCAUCAUUUAAAGAGUGCGUAAUAGCUCACUAGUCGAGUGACACUGCGCCGAAAAUGUACCGGGGCUAAACAUAUUACCGAAGCUGUGGAUUGUCCUUUGGACAAUGGUAGGAGAGCGUUCUAAGGGCGUUGAAGCAUGAUCGUAAGCUCGUUAAGGAACUCGGCAAAAUGACCCCGUAACUUCGGGAGAAGGGGUGCUCUUUAGGGUUAACGCCCAGAAGAGCCGCAGUGAAUAGGCCCAAGCGACUGUUUAUCAAAAACACAGGUCUCUGCUAAACCGUAAGGUGAUGUAUAGGGGCUGACGCCUGCCCGGUGCUGGAAGGUUAAGAGGAGUGGUUAGCUUCUGCGAAGCUACGAAUCGAAGCCCCAGUAAACGGCGGCCGUAACUAUAACGGUCCUAAGGUAGCGAAAUUCCUUGUCGGGUAAGUUCCGACCCGCACGAAAGGCGUAACGAUUUGGGCACUGUCUCAACGAGAGACUCGGUGAAAUCAUAGUACCUGUGAAGAUGCAGGUUACCCGCGACAGGACGGAAAGACCCCGUGGAGCUUUACUGUAGCCUGAUAUUGAAAUUCGGCACAGCUUGUACAGGAUAGGUAGGAGCCUUUGAAACGUG